UACGGAGGGUGCGAGCGUUGUCCGGAAUCACUGGGCGUAAAGGGCGCGUAGGUGGCCGAGCAAGGUCGCGGUGAAAGCCCGGGGCUCAACCCCGGGUCGGCCGUGGCAACUACUCGGCUCGAGCACUGUAGGGGCGGGUGGAAUUCCGGGUGUAGCGGUGGAAUGCGUAGAGAUGUGGAGGAAUACCGAUGGCGAAGGCAGCCCCCUGGGAUAACACUGACGCUCAUGCACGAAAGCGUGGGGAGCAAACAGG
rnacentral:rRNA from 1 species